rnacentral:rRNA from 1 species
CUACGGGGUGCAGCAGUGGGGAAUAUUGCACAAUGGGGGAAACCCUGAUGCAGCAACGCCGCGUGGAGGAUGACGCAUUUCGGUGUGUAAACUCCUUUUAUAUAGGAAGAUAAUGACGGUACUAUAUGAAUAAGCACCGGCUAACUCCGGUGCCAGCAGCCGCGGUAAUACGGAGGGUGCAAGCGUUACUCGGAAUCACUGGGCGUAAAGCGCGCGCAGGCGGCCUUUUAAGUUGGAUGUGAAAGCCUAUGGCUUAACCAUAGAACUGCAUCCAAAACUAUCAGGCUAGAGUCUGGGAGGGAAGAUGGAAUUAGUUGUGUAGGGGUAACAUCCGUAGAGAUAACUAGGAAUACCAAAAGCGGAGGCGAUCUUCUGGAACAGUACUGACGCUGAGGCGCGAAAGCGUGGGGAGCAAACAGGAUUAGAUACCCCUGUAGUC